rnacentral:misc_RNA from 1 species
ACAAACUUGGUCAUUUAGAGGAAGUAAAAGUCGUAACAAGGUUUCCGUAGGUGAACCUGCGGAAGGAUCAUUCAUAAUAAAAGUGUUUAUGGCACUUUUAAAACAAUCCAUAUCCACCUUGUGUGCAAUGUUUCUUUUUUUUUUUAAUCAACACUUUAUUUUAUUCUUUUGUCUGAAAUAUUUUAUGAAUUUUUUACUUAAUUCAAAAAAUAUAACUUUCAACAACGGAUCUCUUGGCUCUCGCAUCGAUGAAGAACGCAGC